ACAUCAUAAAAGUAGAUAGUCAUUAGAACAUUCCAGGAUGGCUGUGCAGGCAGAUAACUGCUAAUGGGCAAUCCCCCUUAUCAACCAAAAUCCAACUAACAGGAAAAUGAAAACACAGAACAUGUUACCUGUUAGAGGUCAACUUUGAGAAAGUGACCUAUUUCCAGGGUCCAGGAGCAUGGGUCCCAGAUGGCCUGUGAGAUCAUUCGCAUUGAAAGCAGCAAGAAGGACAAGAAAGGCUUUCAGGUGAUCUCAAGAUGGAAGACUUCCUGUUCCUCUAUAAUCAUAAUAUUCAAGGGAUGGAGAUUUGUUACCUGAGCUUUUGGUGUCAUAUUAAAAAAACAAUCGAUUGCUGGCAAGAUGGCCCAAUAGGAACAGCUCCAGUCUGCAGCUCCUAGCAAGAUCAACACAGAAGGCAGGUGAUUUCUGCAUUUCCAACUGAGCUGUAUGCCAAGAAUCCAGGGGAUGACUCUAGGGCUCUAGGGUAUGAUGAAGCCAUUGCCGGGAAAGGACUUGGUCAUAAGGUGGUGGCGUGGAGCAGCACUCCUCCUACUCCAACCUUCAUCCAACAGUGGUGUGAGCAAGAAAAAAACUUUCAUUGUGCAAAGACAUUCAGAUUUCAUGAAUGUCAGUAAACCUACCCAGAUGAGAACUCUCUGUUGACCUUCAGGUUUGGCACAGUAGCCUCCAGAAGGAACACAGCCCUGCCGACAUCUUGCUCUUACGCCAGUGAGGCCCCUUUUGGACUUCUGACCUCCAUAACCGUACCAACCCCACCACCAGGCUUUCUCACCUGCUGAAAUCCUCCCUGUUCAAGAAUCAGCUGAGGGAUCAUCUCUCCUAAGAGGGUCUGACUCUGUUGCCCAGGCUGGAGUAUAGUGGCCCAAUCUCAGCCCACUACAAACUCCACCUCCCAAGCUCACACAAUCUUCCCAUCUCAGCCUCCCAAGUAGCUGCGACUACAGCAUGAGCAGAGAUUAAUGGAGCUCAUUCUUCUCUGUUCCACUCACAUCAACUGGAGCAGCUCAAAGGCUGGAGGCUGGAAUCCAAUCAAAGUUCAAUCACUCACACAUCUGGGGUUUGUGCGGGCAAUUGUCUGAAACCUUGACUGGGUCUGUCAGCCACAACACCUACAUGCAACCACCCCAUGUGACUUGGACCUCUCAACAUGGUGGCUUUUUCCCAAGUACUCAAGGAUUUUGCCAGGUGUGCAUGCCAGGGGAUGUGAAUUAGGCAGACUUCUAAGAGAUCCUCCAAUCACAAGUAGGCUGACGGUACAAUGGAAAGAAAUGUGGAAAAUUACUUCAGGAAGGACUAUUGUGAUUUAGCACAGAUCGAUAAAUAAUACCUAAAAUCAGUAGAUAAAGAAUAGUUAACACAUCUGGGUCUGAAUUCUAUUGCCUCUACUUGCACCU